GAGGAGAUAAAAGAGAAGGGAAAAGAGAGAAAAGUGGACAGUAGGAGACGAGUAACAAAGAGAUGUAAAAAAAAAAAAGGGGGUGGGGAGAACAGAAGAGAUGAGGAAUUAUUGAUAAGUGAAAUAGAAGAGGAGAGAAAAGACAAAAGGAUAAAGGAGAGAAAAGGAGUUCACACAGGCUGGAAGACAGCAGCGAUGAACGCAGCUCGGAUUCACGACAAACAGAAGGUGAAGUCGUUCUGGGAGCAGAAGAUCGUGCAGCACAGUGAGCAGAUGGACGAGGAGGAGGACCGCAGGAGGAGCAGCGCUUUGACACGGCUGAGGGAGCAGUGGUUAGUCAGGUUAGAUCAGCGGAAUCAGCACCAGCAGAGUUUCUUCGAGGAGAGAAUCAGACGAGCUCAGAAAGCUCAGCAGAGCCUCAGAAAGCUUGACUCCGCCUGAAACCUGCCGAUCAAGCCGGAGAAGUUUGCAGCGACGACUCCACCAAUCAGCUUGCAGGUGAAGAGCAGCUGUCCGGUGUUUUGCAGAGUCGUGCAUUUGUAAUAUUGACAUCUUUUCAUACACAUUUACAUAAAAAUAGAUAUUUGGAAUUGAAAGGAGAAAAAAACACACUUUAUUCACUAUGAAAAAUCUACUACAAAAGUCAAACAAAUAUGCAAAACCUUUGUCACGAAUAGCAAGUCAAGCA